AUCUCCAGCCAUCUCCAAUCAGUUGACUAACCCAUUUCGCCUAUUCUUCAUACCCGCACACAAUCCUCUCUUUGAUUCGGCAAUCCGUUCGCUGAAGAACGAAUUCUUUUGUUGCAGUUUGGAGUUGGAAAUUAAUUUCUUGCUUUUGUUUUCUAAUUAGUGGUGUCGCCUAUGCCAUUUGUGAAAGGCGCGGAUGAGGGCAAGGAGGUGGAGAAUGGGUGGAAGAUG
rnacentral:misc_RNA from 1 species